UACGAAGAGGGCUAGCGUUGUUCGGAAUCACUGGGCGUAAAGCGCACGUAGGCGGAUCUUUAAGUCAGGGGUGAAAUCCCGAGGCUCAACCUCGGAACUGCCUUUGAUACUGGGGAUCUCGAGUCCGGGAGAGGUGAGUGGAACUGCGAGUGUAGAGGUGAAAUUCGUAGAUAUUCGCAAGAACACCAGUGGCGAAGGCGGCUCACUGGCCCGGUACUGACGCUGAGGUGCGAAAGCGUGGGGAGCAAACAGG
rnacentral:rRNA from 1 species